rnacentral:rRNA from 1 species
AACCUCCGCAAUGUGAGAAAUCGCGACGGGGGGAUCCCAAGUGCCAUUCUUAACGGGAUGGCUUUUCAUUAGUGUAAAGAGCUUUUGGAAUAAGGGCUGGGCAAGACCGGUGCCAGCCGCCGCGGUAACACCGGCAGCUCUAGUGGUAGCAGUUUUUAUUGGGCCUAAAGCGUCCGUAGCCGGUUUAAUAAGUCUCUGGUGAAAUCCUGUAGCUUAACUGUGGGAAUUGCUGGAGAUACUAUUAGACUUGAGACCGGGAGAGGUUAGAGGUACUCCCAGGGUAGAGGUGAAAUUCUGUAAUCCUGGGAGGACCGCCUGUUGCGAAGGCGUCUAACUGGAACGGUUCUGACGGUGAGGGACGAAAGUUAGGGGCGCGAACCGGAUUAGAUACCCGGGUAGUCCUAACUGUAAACGAUGCGGACUUGGUGUUGGGGUGGCUUUGAGCUGCUUCAGUGCCGAAGGGAAGCUGUUAAGUCCGCCGCCUGGGAAGUACGGUCGCAAGACUGAAACUUAAAGGUAUG